rnacentral:rRNA from 1 species
CCCUUAGAUGUCCUGGGCUGCACGCGCGCUACACUGAUGUGUCCAGUAAGCACCUAACCUCUUCCGAAAGGAACGGGUAACCUUUGCAAAGCACAUCGUGAUGGGGAUAGAUUAUUGCAAUUAUUAGUCUUGAACGAGGAAUUCCUAGUAAGCACAAGUCAUCAGCUUGUGUUGAUUACGUCCCUGCCCUUUGUACACACCGCCCGUCGCUCCUACCGAUUGAAUGUUCCGGUGAGCCCUUCGGACUGCGCGGUCUGCAGUUUCUGCGUUCCGUGCGGAAAGUUGCGCAAACCUUAACAUUUAGAGGAAGGAGAAGUCGUAACA